UGUUUGAAGAUGAUGACACUCGAAGAAUUGUUUGUCCCUCAGCUGGAUUGCAGAGAAAAGGACAGAACAGGGGUCCCCGGAAAACAUUUCCAUCUACGUUUCUGCUCUACGUAGUGCUUGUGUGCCUUAUGUCCAGUAAUGUGGAUGCAUUAUGCAGAGUUAUGGAAGAGUCUAGACUUUAUGUGAAGAGUGUGAAGAGCCAAGUGAGCAUUCUUCCUGCCUGGAAGUGCAGUAUGAUGAGAAAGGAAGUCACAUCUUUGGAAACUAAGUGCAGCUGUGAGUAAGUCCAUGUGUCUGAAGGGGUCAAAAAGCAACCUCCUGCAAGCUAACGAAUUCACCUCUUUUCUUGUCCAAGCCUCAGUGCUGAGAGAGGAAAAAAAACUGCUGGCCUUCUCGGGACCGGCAGGAAGCAGUUUGCAGUCUCGCCCGGCAGCUCUUUUCUUUCAUCUGUGCCUGCGAACCCACUGCCAUCUGCUCUUUUGUGGCUCUGCUUCUGACUCCUACCGUGGCUUCUGGGGCUGUCCGCUUUGCUUUUUCAGAUACCUUGCGGGCCUUUUCCAGGCAUGCCUGAGGAUUUGAGGUGAGGUAGAAUGGGUGUCAUGGGAUUACUUUCAGUCAGGAUGUGGGAGUAUCGCUUUGGCGCGGUGCAGGUGAUGAAGGUGAGCGAAGGAAGAUUAGAGAGGAUGUGGCUGCCAUUGAGU